CGCUUCCCCAGCUGUGGUUAAUCACACCACGUUCGAUGAUCUUCGUCUUAGAUGUUUGGGUUGUGCGGCUCCGUAUUGACAGAUUGCAGGGCUUCAAAAUCUUAUGAUUCCCGACCAGUUUGAAUGCUUCUUUGAAGGUCUCUUAGACGCUGAUGCUAAUAACUCUUGUGUUUGUUGUGUCUUAAUGUAUUUUUUUGAAGUACAAACAUUCAUGGCAGACUUUAUGACCCAGUUUUUGUUGAUCGACUGAUAGAGAGAUUGAAGCUUCCCUCUGGUGAGGAGAAGGAGCUACACUCCGUCACCACCAACGGUUAUGGGAGGAGGGAUCAAAGCCAAGCCCUAAAUGAGUAGAUAUUGAGGUCGUAGAAGAAACUUCAUGACAAGCGUUUUGGUUUGCAAUCUACAGCAUGAUUGCAGGUUUAUAUUUGACGUAUAUUUAAUUCCCUUCAGGCAUUUUCUUUAGGCAUAGUUAAGCUUGAGGUUCUUGUAAUACCUGUACUCUCCAAAAUAAAAUAAUAAAUAAUAAUCGUAAAAUCUCUAUUUAUUAAUCCUCAUAAAUCGUCUGCACAUAUCAUAAAUACGACAAAUAGUCAUAAAUCCAAAUAAUGUAAUAAAUCCAGAAAAUACGAUAAAACCAUAAAACCCGCAAGUCUGAAAUGGAAAGAAGUAAACGACCAAAAGCACCAAUCCGAUAGCAAUCACUCAUGCUCGACAGUCUCACCUGGAAAGGGGAGAAAAGAGGGGUGAGCAACAGGAGAGUCACUUAGUGAGGUAUGGGAUGCUAAACCGCAAACCACUGACUCAGUACAUAACACUACGACUAUGUAGGCCUAGCUCUAACAUGAAACAAACACGGCACCUAAUGCGCCACACAUAACAACCAAUGCGCUUAUAGUACAUAGCUAUUCGUUGCACCCCGCAUUCUCCUUUUACGGAUAUAGAUAUAUAAAUUUUUAUGUAUACCAAAAGUAUGUGUAGUACAGAAGUGCUUCCCUGUACUCCCACAUUCUCCUCAUACACAAUGCUACGUAGUAUAGAAGUGCUUCCCCAUACUCCCGCAGCUCAUGCGUGGUACAGAAGUGCUUCCCUGUACGCCCCACAAUCUCCACACAAACAAUUGCCACGUAGUACAGAAGUUCUUCCCUGUACUCCCGCAGCUCAUACGUAGUACAGAAGUGCUUCCCUGUACACCCCGUAAUCUCCACACAAAUAGGCCGAUACAGAAGUACUUCCCUGUAUCCGGCUAACCAAUCCAUACUAUAUGUAUACUUAUAUAUAACCGUCUUUUAACAUCACCCAAAUCGAUCAACAGUUGAAUCAUCUAAUUUCCGAUUUCCGGUUUAGAAAAAGAAUAAAAUAAAAACAAACAAGACUCCAGUUAGACUCGAUUCACAGAGACGGAAUAUGUUUCGAAACUAAACUUUCCAUAAUGGUAGUACUAAACUAGCACGGGAUUAAACGGAAUAACCUUCACCUUAGCCACUGGAUGAAAUAGACAACGGAGGAUACGGUCAACUGCGACACGAGAAUUUAAUGGCUUAGGUCCAUAAGAAACUUUCCUAAAACAAUAGAUUUAGGUUUUCCAAAUUAGAAGACUAGGUUUAUGAUUUUCGGAUUUGAACAGAGUUGAUACCCGAAAUUAAAAUGGCCAUAACUUCCUAACCGUACCUCAGUUUGUCGAUCUGAAGAAUGAUCUGGAAAGCUGACAACGAGACCUUUCCAAAGGUAUCUCGCUCGUUUUCUAAGUCAGUCGGGAUAAACAGCAAAACGCUUAUGAAGUUGACUGUUCGUGGACUCGCUCUGCAGAGAUCAGUCUCAAAUAAACAACCAUAACAUUAUAACAUUUAAACCGAAAUUCCAAAUGAUGAUCUGCUUUCUGUUAUAAGUAGAUCUGUGAGUUUAGAAUUUACCAUGAAAAUUUGACUUCAAAAUUCUAUGAUUUGAUAAUCCGUUGCUGACUUUCCCCAAUACUGGCCUCAGAUGUGUUAUGCAGAAAUAUCCCUUGGUAAAACACACAUAACUUCUAGAAUACAAAUCCGAUUGGAGAUCCGCUUUCUGUAACACGUAGAGAAAAGAGUUGGCUACUUACUCCCAGAAGAUGAUGGUCAAUGAUGGUCGUUGGACCAACUAAUGGAGGGAGAAACGUGAAGAUGGCUUGAGGUGGCUAAUGAAGAAGAUGAUGGUGAUAAAAGAUGGCUGCGCUACAGUUCACGUUUUAGGUUUUAAGAAUAAAGAAAUACUUAUAAUUAAUAUAUAAGCAUGUCUGGUUUACUAAACCAUUAAGGAGAAAUUAUUUUUCAGAUUGGUUUAGUUUAAAUAAAUAAUCAAACCAAAUUUUAAGUAUGGUUUGUUAAAACUGGGUCGUUACAGUUCUCUUAUAUGUAGAAAGAUUUUGAGAUAGUUAAUAUGUUUGGUUUGAUGAGUGUUUGUUUUAUGAUAAAUUUGAGGGAAAGAUA